ensembl:miRNA
UUAGGUUGGUGCAGAAGUAAUUGUUGUUUUGCAUUACUUUUAAUGGCAAAAACUGCAGUUACUUUUGCACCAA